UUUACCUUCAAACCAAGUGUUCAUAUGGGAUCAGGCAAAAGCAGGUCCUGAAGGCAGGAUCCUGAAGAUCAGGCACCACCUGACAGAAUUCUCAAGCACCUGACUCAUCACCUCUGCAGUGCAUCCCUUUCCAGAAGUCCACUCUCCUGAUUCACCACCAGUGGAAGUUUUAACAAUGGAAACACCAUCUGUGCAAGGUGUCCACAUUGCUAGCUGGGCGGUGAAUGAUUCAGCUCCAAAAUCCCAUUUGAUUGCCUGCUCUUUCCAGACACAACUGCAGCAAACUGGAUUGUCUAGACACAGAUGAUGAGACAGAGUUUAGGGUGCAAGAAGCUAACUAGGGAUCAACACCUGUGUAAGGAAGCAGGUGGAAGCACAAUUGAAGUUGAGAAAGAUGAAGAGGUUGAACUGCCCUGCAGGCCAGAUAGAGCCUUGCCAAACCAGUGGGGAACUCGGAGGAAGUCCUGCCUGCCAGUUUCCCAUGUGGAGCCGAAACAGUCGUGCUUUUAUCUCUCCACCUUGCUCAGUCACCAGAUGCAGGCCACGCCCAGAAGGAAUGCAAGGCUGGGUGCAGUGGCCCACGCCUGUAAUCCCA
rnacentral:lncRNA from 1 species